rnacentral:lncRNA from 1 species
CCCUUCCUUCUCUCUCCUCCCUCUCUCUCUCCCGUGCGACCGCUUCCUCCAUCUUCUUCAUCUUCUUCUUCGAAACCCAGCAAGCCGAAGAACCAGCGAAGCCGGAGCCAAGGCCGUCGUCGCCGCCUCACGCCGCACGCCGUCGUAGCUCCGCGACCGCCUGCACGCCCUCCGCCUUCCUCUCUCCCUUCUGCUGGUGUCGGCUUCUUCUUCUUCUCCCUGGGUGCUGUCCGACGCCCCAGCAGAUCUGGGAUGGACGCCGGAGCAGCCAGCGACUGCUCGCGACGCCGCCGUCCUCCGCCAUUCGCCACCGUGCUGCCGCCCUCGCGCGCCGCUGCUGGCCACGCGCGCCUUAACCGCCCUCUCGCCCAGCUCGCUGUUCCAGAGCUGCUGUCCAGCUCCGUUUGGCCAGCACAGGCCGCGGCUCAGCCGCUCCGGCCGCCGUACGCCACCAUCUCGACCUGCCGGAGCUCCGCUUGGCCCUAGCCGCCCUUGGCCGCCUCAACCGACGCCGGAUUCGCCCCCAACCAGCAGCGCACAGAGAGUGCAAAAAAUGGGUAUGGCAGUGGCUUCGUGGCCCGUUUUGGCCGGCUUCCCGACCCCGGAAGCUAGGCCCGCCUUGGAGUGAAUCGAUCCUCGCGUCGUCCUCGUCGAUUUGAGCCGCUCGGAUCGUUAAUCGGGUGAGUUUAACUCACUAAUCCCCGCUUAGUAGGUUACUAAUCCCCGCUUAGUAGGUUGAGCGGCUCGUUAAUCGGGUGAGUUUAACUCACUAAUUCCCGCUUAAUAGGUUACUAAUCCCCGCUUAGUAGGUUAAUCACGUUUUAGUAGGUUACUAAUCCCCGCUUAGUAGGUUAAUCACGUUUAAGGGUUGCUUAGUUUUAAUUAGUUACGUUUAGGUGGUUAGAUUAGUAUGGAUUAGUGUUUAUUAGUCAAUUGUGAUGUAAAUUAAACAAAUUGAUUGUGCAAUUAGCAAGUAUACGUAGUCUACUAUUUAUUGAAAGCAUCUCGGGAUUUUUUCCCGACCCUUAGUGGGCUUCAAUUAGGUUUUUCGGGCCUAAGUGGAAUUUUUGGUAUUUAAAUAUUAUUUUUCGGAAUUAAAUUAAUUAAUUAAUUAUUUUCCGAAAAUUCAAUUGAGAUGGCUAGUGACCGGAAUAUUAUGCUGAUGACCGUGGUGAAGUCCGUUUAUUUAAUCGGGCUUUAUUUUGAGCUAAAUUGAAUUUUUUUAAUAUUAAUUAUUUAAUUUUCGAAAUUAAUUAUUUAUUUAUUUAUUUUCCGAAAAUUCAACUGGAAUGGUUAGUGACCGGAAUUUUAUGCCAAUGAUCGUGGUGAAGUCCGUUUAUUUAAUUAAGCUUCAAUUUGAGCUAAAUUGAAUUUAUUGUAAUUAAUUAUUAAUUUUCGAAAUUAAUUAAUUAAUUAAUUAAAUUUCGGAAAUUAAGAUUGAGAUGGCCGACGACCGAAAUUCCGUGCUGAUUAUCGUGGUGCAGUCCGUUUAUUUAUUUGAGCAUUAAUUUGUGCUGAAUUGAAUUAAUUGGGAAUUUAGGAUUUAUUCCUAAAUUAUAUGAUUUUGGUUAUUAACGGAAAAAUAACCGGGCGUCGGUUUACAGCGCCAAAAAUAUGUAAUGGGCUGUUGAAAUUGUUGGGAUGUUUGUAAGUAAAAUUAUUAUAUUUUGGCUAAGGCCAACCGUGUACCCACACACGGCUAUUUAUUGAGAAUGAUAAAAGAUGGAAUUGAUUGUAUGAGAGAGUGGUAUACUAUAUCGGCCUACGGGCGAUAUGUCAGCUUUGGGUGAGCAGUAUACCGGUAUACUAUAUUAGCCUACGGGCAAUAUGUCAGCUUUGGGUGAGCAAUAUACCUUAUUAUCAGCUUUGGGCGAGCACACAUAUAUAGUAUACUAAAUUGGCCUGAGGGCUCUAAUCUAUCAGUUUUGGGCGAGCAUAUAUAGUAUACUGGAAUUUGGCCUGUGGGCCCUAAUCUAUCAGCUUUGGGCGAGCAUAUACAUAGUAUACUAUAUCUAUCAGCUUUGGGCGAGCUAUACUAUCUAUUAUCAGCUUUGGGUGAGCAGUCCUAGAUUACGGUCGGACUUUAUAGAUAGUAUUGAAUGUACUGACCAGGGAAAGAUCGUGGUGACAUGUAAUCGAUUAAGUCGAUUGAUCGCUGAGUCGAUCUGAUUGGUGGAAUGUGAUUGUUUACUGUAGUUAUUGAUAUUAUUAAUUGAACUAAUGUGUAGGAAAGGAACUGAUGCCAAGGUAAGCCAUUUGACCUGUGUUGUGCUUAGGCAGCCCUUAUAGCGUAUUGGCUUCCUAAUUGGGUCUUAGUGGGGUAGAACUUACUGAGACAUAGUCUCAUCCCGGUUUAGGGAAAAUAUUUCAGGUCCCUAGAUGACGAUCGUGGAGAACCGGGAGUCCUGGAGUUCGGAAGGUGGAGGCUGAAGAAUCGGCAAAUGGGUCUGACUAGUGGAUGUUAAGACAGUCCCCUUUUUUUGAUAAGCCGUUAAUUUUGUAAACAGCCUAAGUUUGUAAUUAACCAGUUUGUCUAUAAAGACUCGUCAUGGUUUGAAAAAAAAAAAAUAUGAUCCUAC